GACGAACGCUGGCGGCGUGCUUAACACAUGCAAGUCGAACGGAAAGGCCCUGCUUUUGUGGGGUGCUCGAGUGGCGAACGGGUGAGUAACACGUGAGUAACCUGCCCUUGACUUUGGGAUAACUUCAGGAAACUGGGGCUAAUACCGGAUAGGAGCUCCUGCUGCAUGGUGGGGGUUGGAAAGUUUCGGCGGUUGGGGAUGGACUCGCGGCUUAUCAGCUUGUUGGUGGGGUAGUGGCUUACCAAGGCUUUGACGGGUAGCCGGCCUGAGAGGGUGACCGGACACGUAGGAAGCAGUAUGCGGGAAAGUGCAAUAGGGGGGGAGGGGGUGGGUAAUAUAGCAAAAGGGGCGGAGACCUGAUCAAGAGAGGGCGGGGGGGGGAGGCCGUCGUUGGGAUUGGAACACGACCUAGCAAGAGACGAAGGGGAGGUGAUGGGAAGGGGCAAGAAAACACCCCAUAGCUAGGGGACAGAAGCCGCAUAAGGAUCAGCGACAAACGUCUGAAC
rnacentral:rRNA from 1 species